GCAACCAAUCUAGCUUUAUGAUAUAACCCUAUUUUUACAGUUUUUAACUAUGUUUUAGAUAUAGUUUUUUGAGUCUUUUUGUUAUUUCUAUAGUCUUUUCAGGUGUUCUAUGGAGAGGGACAACAAUGAAGAUGAGGAGACAUUUUGGAGCAAAAGCUGAAGAAAACAAGCUAAAGGACGAAUUCACUUUUUAGAUCCAGUCGAUCGACACCAAGUUGCGGCCCAGAGAAGUCCAUCACGCUUUUAAGUUUGAAGAAUUAGAAAAUUGCCCAGAAGAUUUCCCUAUUUUCAUUAAUUGUUCCUGCACGUCUUUUUAGGUCAUAUAUAUAGUUUUAAAGUUCAUUGUUAGACAAGAAGGAGUUUUCUAUCAAGUUCUUUUU
rnacentral:sRNA from 1 species